UACGUAGGCAGCAAGCGUUGUUCGGAGUUACUGGGCGUAAAGGGUGCGUAGGCGGCUUUUUAAGUUUGGUGUGAAAUCUCCCGGCUCAACUGGGAGGGUGCGCCGAAUACUGAGAAGCUAGAGUGUGGAAGAGGAGAGUGGAAUUCCUGGUGUAGCGGUGAAAUGCGCAGAUAUCAGGAGGAACACCCGUGGCGAAAGCGGCUCUCUGGGACGGUACUGACGCUGAGACGCGAAAGCGUGGGGAGCAAACAGG
rnacentral:rRNA from 1 species